rnacentral:rRNA from 1 species
AUACGGAGGAUCCGAGCGUUAUCCGGAUUUAUUGGGUUUAAAGGGAGCGUAGGUGGAUUGUUAAGUCAGUUGUGAAAGUUUGCGGCUCAACCGUAAAAUUGCAGUUGAAACUGGCAGUCUUGAGUACAGUAGAGGUGGGCGGAAUUCGUGGUGUAGCGGUGAAAUGCUUAGAUAUCACGAAGAACUCCGAUUGCGAAGGCAGCUCACUAGACUGCAACUGACACUGAUGCUCGAAAGUGUGGGUAUCAAACAGGAUUAGAUACCCUGGUAGUCCACACAGUAAACGAUGAAUACUCGCUGUUUGCGAUAUACAGUAAGCGGCCAAGCGAAAGCAUUAAGUAUUCCACCUGGGGAGUACGCCGGCAACGGUGAAACUCAAAUGAAUUGACGGGG